AUUGAACGCUGGCGGCAGGCCUAACACAUGCAAGUCGAGCGGAUGAAGGGAGCUUGCUCCUGGAUUCAGCGGCGGACGGGUGAGUAAUGCCUAGGAAUCUGCCUGGUAGUGGGGGAUAACGUCCGGAAACGGGCGCUAAUACCGCAUACGUCCUGAGGGGGAAAGUGGGGGAUCUUCGGACCUCACGCUAUCAGAUGAGCCUAGGUCGGAUUAGCUAGUUGGUGGGGUAAAGGCCCACCAAGGCGACGAUCCGUAACUGGUCUGAGAGGAUGAUCAGUCACACUGGAACUGAGACACGGUCCAGACUCCUACGGGAGGCAGCAGUGGGGAAUAUUGGACAAUGGGCGAAAGCCUGAUCCAGCCAUGCCGCGUGUGUGAAGAAGGUCUUCGGAUUGUAAAGCACUUUAAGUUGGGAGGAAGGGCAGUAAGUUAAUACCUUGCUGUUUUGACGUUACCAACAGAAUAAGCACCGGCUAACUUCGU
rnacentral:rRNA from 1 species